ACAGGCAAGAAUCGCAGGCCAAAUGUAGACCAGUCAGGAACCACAUCUGUGACUUACUGGAAGUGCCCCAGUCUGUUCUGAAGAACCCUCAGGCUGGUAAAGCUAAGAAGCAAGAGGAUGCUAAUGACCAGAUGGACAGCUAUCAAGAUCUCGUGUCAAGAUUGGGAUACUGAGGAGCAGUCUUCUGAUGCCCAUUACUGCUGAUGAGUCAUCAGAAUAUAAUUACAAUUUUUUCCUGUAUCGAAAAAUAUAAGAAAUGUGUAAAUGAUAAAAGUAUUCUUGCAUUUAAAUUAGCAAUUUGAUGCCCUGAA